GGCGAGUUGGCGGAGUGGUUACGCAGCGGAUUGCAAAUCCGUUUACACCGGUUCGAUUCCGGUACUUGCCUCCA
rnacentral:tRNA from 1 species